AAGAGAGGAACUAUAACCACUGACGAGGAACAUAGUGAGCUUUACACUUUAGAAUAUGCAGAAAGCUAAAGUGGAAAAAAGAAAAUACCGAGAAGCUAAAUAAAAAAGAUAACUAUGUAAGAUGAUAUUUUCAGAACCCAUUUGCAUCAUGAGAAAGUAGCUGCAAAAUUUUUAAAGAGUUUUGAAAAUAUUAAUGGGUUGCUUUCUUAUGAUACCAAGUGACGAAAUCACGAACAAAACCCAAGUUAGUUAAUUUACGUGUGUGUAUGUAUAUAUAUUCAGUUUCCCCAAUGGUAUGGGAGAAUUUGAACCCCUCAAUUUGAGAAUUUGAACUCCAUAAAAUUGAGGAGAUAUGCUGAACACUAAACCAAUUUGACACAAUCCAUUUAUUGGACGCAAGUAACAUGAAUAAGUGGGUUUGAUUCAUUAAAUUUCAUAUUAUUAUUAAAUAAGUCGUGUUU
rnacentral:lncRNA from 1 species